ensembl:lncRNA
AUGGAUUCAAACAGUGAAGAAUAUAGUUUGGAGGACGGACUGAAGCAGUCUCUCACUGACCAGGUGUCCUGUGAACGGUGCUGUUCCACAAUUGAUGUCAUCACUAAAUGUGAGGUGAAGCAUCAUCCAGAGGUUUUAGUUCUGCUGCUGAAGAGGUUUGACUUUAACAAUAGUAACAUAACGUUUGUCAAAAACAACCGAGCUGUGAAGAUUACUCGCACUUUACAGAUGUCAGAGAACCAGACGUAUGAGCUUUAUGCUGUCGUGGAUCAUGUGGGUGAACUCAAAGAUGGACAUCAUGCAGUGAUCGCGUCUCUUAAUGAUGGUCGAUGGUACAACUACCAUAAUAACACACACUUAUCGCCGUUCCAGCACGGUGACACUGAGAUUUCCCAGACGGUUCAUCUUCUUUUCUACAGGAGACAAGAAACUGCAGAUACUUUCAGUCAGGACACCAGGGAGGUGUUCACUUGUGAAGGUGUUCUUCCUGCUACAAGUGACACCAACCAGAGUCCAUGUACUGAGACUAUCAGACAGAAAGAAGAGUUUAAAGAAGCUGUAGAAGACGGUGAAGACGCUGCAGAAACUGGUUCUACUGGUGAAAACAAAGAAACACAAUAUAUAGAGGAUCAGGACAGUGGCGCUGAUGUCAGACACCGUGAACCACACAGUGAGGAGGACAGAGAUGGAAACAAGACAGAUGGGCUGGAAAUAAUGAGACACGAUGAUGAAAACAGGAGGAGAAUUGGAAAAACUGAUGAACUGACAAAUAAAGCAGACACAGUAACUAAAGACGAGAGAAGAGAGGAUCAGGAUGAUGAAGGUGUAGAUGACAAAACACUACAUGAUCAGGAUUUAGAUCUUGAAGGAGCAGAUGUUAUUAGACUGAAGAUCAGACAAUGUGUGGACUCCACAGAAUUAAAGUCCACAGAUAAUGAAUCAGACGUGCUGCCCCAUGAAGGUAUCCUGCCUGCUACCAGUGACACCAACCAGAGUACACAUACGGAGACUAUGAGACAGAAGGAAGAGUUUAAAGAAGCUGUAGAAGAUGGUGACAAAGCUGCAGAGACUGUUUCUACUGGUCAAAAUAAAGAAACACAAAUCACAGUCUGUGUUGAGCCAACAGUGCCUGAAGCUCGUGUCUGUAAUGUAGAGGAUCAGGACAGUGUAGCUGAUGUCAGACAACGUGAACCACACAGUGAGGAGGACAGAGAUGGAAACAAGACAGAUGAGCAGGAAAUAAUGAGACACAAUGAUGAAAACGGGAGGAGAAUCAGAGAAACUGACGACCUGACAGAUAAAACAGACACAGUAGUAACUGAAGACACGAGAGCCGAGGAUCAGGAUGUUAAAGGUGUAGAUGAUAAUAAUGAUCGGAGAGGAGUGAUGAAUGAACAGACUGUAGAUAAUGAAGAGUCAGAAAACCUUGACACAGAACAUCAGGUCAGUGAAGGAGCAAAUGUUGUUAGACUGAAGAUCAGACAAUGUGUGGACAACAGAGACUCCACAUCCACAGAUAGUGAAUAUGAACCAGAAAGUCAAAAUUAUCAUGUUAAGAAAAAACAGAAACUUGGAGAUAAUAGAGGACUUGAUGUUACAUCCCAAAACAAAUCAAAUCGUAAUAAUAAGUGUGAAAGAGAAAACAGUGAUUGUAUUACUGUGCAUAGUGGGGAAAAAAGUGAUGUUGGAGAUGGACGAAGUAGAGGAAUGUCAGGUAGAUCCAGUGAUGGAGGUGUUGAUGAUCACAGAAUGCAGAAGCAACAGGAAAUGAAACAUAAACAUAUUCAGUACAAUCAGGAAAAAGAAGAUAAAAAGAAAAGAAAAAAAGUUCAUGAUAGAACCAGAGAGCAUGAUUUUCCUAGUAAAGAAGGAUCAGCAGAUGGCAGAAGACACAUUAACAGCGACGGCAGUGAUGCACAAUAUUUAUCGUGCAGCAUGGAGGGAGGUGUGAUGACAAGUGAAGACCGGUCACAGCAACACAUCAUUGACAUGACUGAAAAGGCAAGAACAGAAAAGGUAGAGGAACCUUCACACGGCUGCAAGAACAGAAGGGAACAGAAAGACGUUCAACCUGAUCUGGAGACAGACACUUUAACACAAGCUGUCGACAGUUCAAACCUGAAGGAGCCAGAAACAAGUCAGAAAACCAGAAGAGACACAGGCAAGAGAGAGGAGACAGAAAGGAUGAGUCCUUUAAAUGAAGAAAAACACGAUGUACAAAUGGAAGCAGCUGGAAAAGAACAGGCAGGUAAACAAAGGAGGGAGAGAGGAGGAAGGUGCUGGUGGCUGAGGAAGUGGAUAAAUUCACAAAAAAAGGGAAAAAAGAUGAGAAAAAACGAACAAAACAAAGAAGAUGAUAAAGAGAAGUCAGCAGGAGGCAGAGAGAACAAUGACAGUGACAAGGCAGAUCCACAGAUACGUCUGUUUUACAGUGCAAAUGGAAAUGUGUUGGAAAUGAAAGGCCAGUCAGAGAAACGGAGAGGUAAGAAAAAGAAAUGUUGUUUCCAAACAAAGAGGACGAGAACAGAAAUAGUGGAGGACACGUCACAUGACAGCAAGAAACACAGAGAAAACACAGAGUCAGGUGAAAAAAGACAUGAGAACAGAGGACGGUUUAAAGUCAGGAAUCCGUUGAAGCCUCAAAAGAAGGUGGCUCCUCAAAACAGUGAGGAGGGUUCUGACGGGGAAGGGAGUUUAAUGGGAGGCAGAGGAGGAAUGGAGAACAACGACAGUGAGAAACAAAGGAAGACUUCCCGUUGGCGGUGUAUCUGUUGUAUCUGUGGGACGUGUUGA